rnacentral:rRNA from 1 species
UACAGGGGGUGCAAACGUUGCUCGGAAUUAUUGGGCGUAAAGCGCGCGUAGGCGGCUACUUAAGUCGGAUGUGAAAGCCCUUGGCUCAACUGAGGAAGUGCACCCGAAACUGAGUGGCUUGAGUACAAAAGAGGGUCGCGGAAUUCCCGGUGUAGAGGUGAAAUUCGUAGAUAUCGGGAGGAACACCGGUGGCGAAGGCGGCGACCUGGGUUGAUACUGACGCUGAGGCGCGAAAGCGUGGGGAGCAAACAGG